rnacentral:rRNA from 1 species
GAUGAACGCUGGCGGCGUGCCUAAUACAUGCAAGUCGAGCGAACAGACGAGGAGCUUGCUCCUCUGACGUUAGCGGCGGACGGGUGAGUAACACGUGGAUAACCUACCUAUAAGACUGGGAUAACUUCGGGAAACCGGAGCUAAUACCGGAUAAUAUAUUGAACCGCAUGGUUCAAUAGUGAAAGACGGUUUUGCUGUCACUUAUAGAUGGAUCCGCGCCGCAUUAGCUAGUUGGUAAGGUAACGGCUUACCAAGGCAACGAUGCGUAGCCGACCUGAGAGGGUGAUCGGCCACACUGGAACUGAGACACGGUCCAGACUCCUACGGGAGGCAGCAGUAGGGAAUCUUCCGCAAUGGGCGAAAGCUUGACGGAGCAACGCCGCGUGAGUGAUGAAGGUCUUCGGAUCGUAAAACUCUGUUAUUAGGGAAGAACAAAUGUGUAAGUAACUAUGCACGUCUUGACGGUACCUAAUUAGAAAGCCACGGCUAACUACGUG